UCUGCUUCUCGGCCUUUUGGCUAAGAUCAAGUGUAGUAUCUGUUCUUAGGGGGGGUUCUGGCUGUCCCCCCCAUACAAGGCAGUCUACCUUAAUCCUCU
ensembl:snRNA U2 U2 spliceosomal RNA